AGCACAAAACGUUAAUUAAGGAGCUCAUUAACAUCUAAUUAGCAUAACGACGGCUAAUUGCCCGCAGGGCUCGCGGCGGAAGCGGGAGCGGCGCAAGGAGGGGCGGCGGCCGCGGGGGGCGGAGCCUGAGCCGGAAGAGGCGGAGCUGAGCCGGCGCCUGCAGGCCCUGGCGGCCGCCGCCGACGAGGAGGAGGAGGAGGAGGAGGAAGGUCCGGGACGGGAAUUUUGGCGAUUUCCGGGGGGUCCUGGGGGGCACGACCCCUCCGUGACCCCCAAAAUCUGCCCCCAGCUCCGGCGUCGCGGAGAGGAGCGAGGAGGAGGAAGGGUGGGAACGUUUUCGCUGCGCUGAGCCGGGAGCAGAGCGAGGAAGAGGAGGAGGAGGAAAAGGAGGAGGAAAAGGAGAAAAAAACAACCAAGGGCAAAA
rnacentral:lncRNA from 1 species